GAUCACCGGAAGAAUUGGGAACGUAAACAACGAAGAGUCCAGGCAUCGAAAGACCGUAUUUCUUCAGCUUGUUUGGAUGAUUUAACCGAUUCUUACUUGUGUAAAAGUGUAUUAACAUGUUUUUCUGUUAAAUAUGCUCUGUUUGUUUGGAUAAUUCCACAGGAACCGUCAGCAGCGGACUUGAAUAGAUGAUGUGCGAUAUCAUAAAAUGGAUUGUCUACACUCAUGCGUCAUCGCAGUACCAGGAUUUCAACCUAAAAAGAAACCCUGCACAUUUACAGCUGUACAGAAUGCAGUUCAUGCCAUAUGCUGUAAGAGUAAAUGAUAAAAGAUGUUCAAACCAGUGUCACGGAG